UGAGGCACAAAACUAUGAAGUAGUUGGCUCAAAGUCUCAGAGAUUGAGAUGCCAACCCAGGAUUUACAGCCAGGUUAUUCUCUUCUCCAGACUCUGCAGCGAGAUGACCUGGGAACCCAUGCGGUUUGAAGCUGAAGAGCCAUUCAGCAGAGAGAGAGAGAGAGGGAGAAAGAGAAGUAUUUAUGUGUGAGCACGCCCCCCAACCAGGGACCUGGCAACCUGGACAUGUACCCUGACCUGGAAUCAAACUGGUGACCUUUGGCUUCUUCGGAUGAUGCCCAACCCACUGAGCCACAUCAGUCCUUACCAGGAAACAGGAGCCCUUCACAGCUCUGCUGUUCACUGGUCCUGUAAGUGAUUUGGGAUUAAGGAGGCCCCAGAUUCUCCCAACUAGAAAAUGAGAAUAAGAAAUACUCCCACCUGGAAAGUUUAAACAAGAGAUGCAUAAAGAUACCCUCCACAAAGGAAACAAAACAAAAGGAAAACCCCUCCAGGAUCUACGCCGGGUGGGAGAAGUCACAAGCUCACUAGUUUCAAGCCCCGCCUUUCUCUGACUCCAAGGAGGGACAGCUGACCAGAGCUGACCCUGCUCCUGGUUUGGGAAGGUCCUGGGCAGCGUUUCCCAGAUUUCGGUCCCUAGUAUCUCACUUUCAUUGUAUAUGUCAGGAUAAUUUUCUCUAAAUUGACUAACACUUUUUUUAACUUAAGUAAAAUUUUUCA